UUCUCAUAAUUUUCCUCAUCUUCUAAUGUCCUCUGCAUUGCCUUUAAUUGCUCUUGCUGCUUCGCAAACAAAACUGAGAUCUCCUCGGUAGUAGAAUAGAAAGCCCGGAGUUGUGUUUCUCUGCAUAGCAACCAUGCAACCACCAGUAUAAGUGGAGAGAGGCAAAUGCCAGAAAAUGAAAGGCAGUAGUAGCUGCAUAGCAACCAUGUAACCACCAGUAUAAGUGGAGAGAGGCAAAUGCCAGAAAAUGAAAGGCAGUAGUAGCAAACACAGUGUCUCCGACUAACAUAUAAAGAGGAAUAUAAAAGCUCAGCACGGUAAUGUAUAAAUCAUAUGUACAUGCUCUCUCGGUAUAAAUAAUUCUGUUUGUAGACUUGUUUCUUUAAUCAAACAAACUUCUCCAUUU
rnacentral:lncRNA from 1 species